UGGCUCAGAUGGUAGAGCAUGGUGCUUGAGAUGCUAAGGUUGUGGGUUUGAUUCCCAC
rnacentral:tRNA from 1 species